rnacentral:rRNA from 1 species
GGAUCAAGGAAUCGGUCAUGCCUCGGUAUGUACUGGUUUUAUUGGUUCUCACCUUCUAAAGAACCAUAAUGUCAUUUAUUUGGUGUUAUGGGGAAUUAGGACUGUUACCUUGAAAAAUUAGGAGUGUUUAAAGCAAGCUUACGCUUGAAUACAUUAGCAUGGAAUAAUGAAAUAGGACAUCCGAUUCUAUUUUGUUGGUUUCUAGGAUCGAUGUAAUGAUUA